rnacentral:rRNA from 1 species
UACGUAGGGUGCAAGCGUUGUUCGGAAUUACUGGGCGUAAAGGGCUCGUAGGCGGCCAACUAAGUCGGAUGUGAAAUCCCCAAGCUUAACUUGGGAACUGCAUCCGAUACUGGAUGGCUUGAAUCCGGGAGAGGGAUGCAGAAUUCCAGGUGUAGCGGUGAAAUGCGUAGAUAUCUGGAGGAAUACCGGUGGCGAAGGCGGCAUCCUGGACCGGCAUUGACGCUGAGGAGCGAAAGCUAGGGGAGCAAACGGG